GCGCCCGUAGCUCAAUUGGAUAGAGCGUCUGGCUACGGACCAGAAGGUUAGGGGUUCAAAUCCCUUCGGGCGUA
rnacentral:tRNA from 1 species